rnacentral:miRNA from 1 species
GACGUCGAUAUUCGACGUCAUAAACACGAACAACUUUGGUGUUUAUGACGUCGAUAUUCGACAUCAUAAACACGAACAACUUUGGUGUUUAUGACGUCGAUAUUCGACGUC